GAUGAACGCUAGCGGCGUGCCUAAUACAUGCAAGUCGAGCGAAUGGAUUAAGAGCUUGCUCUUAUGAAGUUAGCGGCGGACGGGUGAGUAACACGGGGGUAACCUGCCCAUAAGACUGGGAUAACUCCGGGAAACCGGGGCUAAUACCGGAUAACAUUUUGAACCGCAUGGUUCGAAAUUGAAAGGCGGCUUCGGCUGUCACUUAUGGAUGGACCCGCGUCGCAUUAGCUAGUUGGUGAGGUAACGGCUCACCAAGGCAACGAUGCGUAGCCGACCUGAGAGGGUGAUCGGCCAAACUGGGACUGAGACCCGGCCCAGACUCCUACGGGAGGCAGCAGUAGGGAAUCUUCCGCAAUGGACGAAAGUCUGACGGAGCAACGCCGCGUGAGUGAUGAAGGCUUUCGGGUCGUAAAACUCUGUUGUUAGGGAAGAACAAGUGCUAGUUGAAUAAGCUGGCACCUUGACGGUACCUAACCAGAAAGCCACGGCUAACUACGUGCCAGCAGCCGCGGUAA
rnacentral:rRNA from 1 species